AGAAAGAUGGUGGAGGCAGGAAAGAAAGCAGAUAAUAAAUUUUGCUCUGAGUAAGUUGAGUUUAAGAUACCUGUGGAAUACCAGGAACCAGCAUUCUGUGAGUAGUUUUGACACAAUAAUCAGAACUCAGGGGAGAGUUGGGUAGAGAAUUGAGUCAUGGUGAAAACAGGGAAGUAGAUGCCCAGAGAGAGAAUGGAGAACAAACAGAGAAGGAAGCCAAGAACAACCUCCAAGGAAAACACAACAUUCAAGGUACACGUAAAAGAAUAGAAGCCAGUAAAGUAGAGAAAGAAGGACAAAUCAGAGAGGAGAAGAGCCAUGAGAUACCUCUCAGAAGCCAUGGUAUUAAACAUCUCCAGUGCCCCAGUUAAGUCAAAUAAGGUGGGAAGUGGAAACUGACGAAGUUUAUUGGACUUGGCGCUUUCGAAGUCACUGGAAAUUACCACCACAGCAAUUUCAGUAGAUUAGCAAGGUGUUGACUAGAGUACCAUUAAGAGUGAUUGAAAGGUAAAGAGAUGAAGACAACAAACAAAGGCUAUUCUUCUAAGAAAUUUAUCAUGAAGAUAAGAAGAAAAGGAAUUUGAAUAUACUUAAGGCUGAAGGAGAUAGUAGAGAAGGAACGGAUGAAAACAGGAUAAUGGACCCUCCAUGCAGCAGAAUCCCAGGAGAGGCAGAGGAAACAAGAUGAAGUGCUUAUAUUAGGGAAUCACAUUUGACCAAAUGAAAGGGGAUAGAAGGAAGGUGAAAACCAGUAGAGUAAGGGAAAGGGUAGUUGAAACUGUUCACAAUUAAUUACCACAAGUUUUAUAGUGAGAGAGUAUAGGUAGCAGGAAGCAAGUGAAGAAGACUGUAAAGGUUUGGAGUUGCCAUGGUGGCCAGAUGAGGGAGCUGAUCAGAGGAAUGAAAUGCAGAUCGACAUCUUCAUUUUGGACAUCUAGUCUCUAGAACUCUGGAACAAUAAAUUCCUGUUGAUUAUAUCACUCAGACUGUGGUAAGAGGUUAGACUAAAAUGGAAUUUAGAAUUCCAGAAGUGGAACAGUUGUAUGUAACAAUAAGAUAAUAGGUGUGCCCAUGGAUAUAGAUUGCUGUCAUCGGAUGAUAAUUAGUGAAGUUAAGGAUGUCAGGGAACUCUAAAGCCAGGUUGGUACAUUAUUAAAAGCCAUGGGCCCUGACAUCACACAUGAUGAUUAUAAUGUGAAGAGACGAGACUGAGACUAUAAAGAAAGACCAGGAGUGAGCUAACUUGAAUGAUACCAAGGAAGAUGAUAUAAUAUGAAGGUUCCAGUACAAAGGGAUAUCCUCAUCUGGUAAAGACAGACAGAACUCUGAAGUGGAAAGAGCACUUGUCAAGAUAUCAGGAGAUGACGGCU
rnacentral:lncRNA from 10 species